rnacentral:rRNA from 1 species
UACGGGGGGGGCAAGCGUUGUUCGGAAUUACUGGGCGUAAAGGCGUGUAGGCGGCCAACUAAGUCCGACGUGAAAUCCCCAGGCUUAACCUGGGAACUGCGUCGGAUACUGGAUGGCUUGAAUCCGGGAGAGGGAUGCGGAAUUCCAGGUGUAGCGGUGAAAUGCGUAGAGAUCAGGAGGAACACCCGGUGGCGAAGGCGGCCCUCCUGGCUCGACCCUGACGCUGAGAGGCGAAAGCGUGGGGAGCGAACGGGAAUUGAGAU